GUCAUGGCCGAGUGGUUAAGGCUAUAAUCUGAUAACUUAUUCUUCGGGUGCUUCGGCACCUCUUCGUAGGUUCGAAUCCUACUGAC
rnacentral:tRNA from 1 species